UCCUCCCCAUAUGCUGGCAACGGGGGCUCUUGGAGGAGGAAAAAGCACCAUGCUCCGACAACCUUUGACCUUAAAGAGAGUGGCAUGCACACGGUAAAGAAGCAGUCGUGUUCAGGACCCCCACCCCAUGGAAGAUUGAACCCAUAGUACCCCUGUCUCUGGAGUCAGCAGGCAGUUGAAUUUGGGCAUGCAUUUCAUCCGGAAGUGAAAAUACUGCCCCGUCACCAAGAAGUUAAGAAUCAUAUCUGCCGGGAAGCCUCCCAUCUUCCUGCGCCUGCCGCAAACCAUCAGAGUGAUUUCCUGCAAGAAUGGGACAAGACAAACCUCUGCUUCUAACAUUACCAUGCAUCUGGAGGAGUGCACAUCUAAACUGAAGCUGAACUCUGCAGCCAGAAGGAUAUUCCUUGUCCAACGGUACAGAGGCUUCUCUAGCUGGGGACCUGGCCAUUGACUCAGAGGUGUUCGUC